GAACGUGUUUACCAUGAACGGGGUGGGGUGGUCGUGCUUAAUCGUUCGGUCCCCCAUCUUGUUGCCAGAAAGGGGCCUCACUUACGGGGGGCUGCUUCCCGGCACAAUAACGAACCCCGGCGCGGUCUGCGCCAAGGAACAUAAAUACAAGCGUGCCCUUCCCAGCCGGUYCGCCGGCAAGGGAUGUGGCACCAAGUCGUAUAUAAAACAUUAAACGACUCUCGGCAACGGAUAUCUCGGCUCUCGCAUCGAUGAAGAACGUAGCGAAAUGCGAUACUUGGUGUGAAUUGCAGAAUCCCGUGAACCAUCGAGUCUUUGAACGCAAGUUGCGCCCGAAGCCUUCUGGCUGAGGGCACGCCUGCCUGGGCGUCACGCAUCGCGUCUCCCCCUCCCCACCUAGAGUGGGGGAGGGGAGGAGGAUAGCCUCCCAUGCCUCACCGGGBGUGGAUGGCCUAAAAAUGGAGUCCCAGGCCACGAGCUGCUGCGGCAAUAGGUGGUAUUACAAGGCUAGCCUCGGAUG
rnacentral:misc_RNA from 1 species